rnacentral:rRNA from 1 species
UACGUAGGGGGCAAGCGUUGUCCGGAUUUAUUGGGCGUAAAGAGCGUGUAGGCGGCUAGGUAGGUCCGUUGUGAAAACUCGAGGCUCAACCUCGAGACGUCGAUGGAAACCAUCUAGCUAGAGUCCGGAAGAGGAGAGUGGAAUUCCUGGUGUAGCGGUGAAAUGCGCAGAUAUCAGGAGGAACACCGAUGGCGAAGGCAGCUCGCUGGGACGGUACUGACGCUGAGACGCGAAAGCGUGGGGAGCAAACAGG